ACCAAGAUGGCCGAGUGGUUAAGGCGGUGGAUUUAAGUCUGUGAACUUCUCAACUCCCCUAACGAAAGUUUCCUGGGUUCGAACCCCAGUCUUGGUA